UACGGAGGGUGCAAACGUUGCUCGGAAUCAUUGGGCGUAAAGCGCACGUAGGCGGUCCAGCAAGUCGGGUGUGAAAGCCCUCGGCUUAACCGAGGAAGUGCAUUCGAAACUACUGGACUUGAGUACUGAAGAGGAUCGCGGAAUUCCCGGUGUAGAGGUGAAAUUCGUAGAUAUCAAGCGGAACACCGGUGGCGAAGGCGGCCUUCUGGACAGUGACUGACGCUGAGACGCGAAAGCGUGGGGAGCAAACAGG
rnacentral:rRNA from 1 species